UGAUGAUAUAAUCUAAGUGAUGAAACGUCAAUUCUGUAUGUGACUGAUGAAAGGGAGAUUUCGCAUCACAAAGCAAAAAAAUACCCGUCCUUCUAUCAUGACACACUGUUUGCAUUUUACUUGCACAUGCUGUAGGAAUAUAGAGUUAUAGACAGUAUGCAUCACAGGCUUAUUGUGCUGAUGUUCUCAAUGGUAUCCAAAAUUUCCUUUGUAGAAUCAAAUAAGCAACGAAAUAUAUUAAUAAGUUUACAAUUUAGCUGUGUACCACAAAGAAUCAUGGAAACCAGAUUUCAGGUGUUUUGGAUGUGUGUGUUUAGUUCCGAAGGCAAUGGUUAACAAAUGUGUGUUUUCAGAUUUUUCAAAUGAAUUUCACCUUAUGGCUAGACCGCUAGAGCAUCUUCAAUGAAAUGCAAACCUGUUCAUUUGUCUUUACCAUUAAUAGUUUAAUACUCAUGCUGAAAUAUUGAGGUCUUCUAUUUACGCUUUGUGUGCUAUGUUUUGCUCUCACUGUACUUCAGUAAGAAUAUUAUUCAAAUUGUUCACCACGAUGUCCUAUAUUUCUAUGCUUGCAGGUUUUCCACCGGGAGAACAAUUUCUAGAUGCUAAAUUGAAAUGUAUUGUCCAGUGUCUUGUGAUGUCAUUAUUUCAUUAUUCAAGGUAUGUGUCUCACAAGGAAAUAGAAAAUCCUGAAUUUUGCAUGUGUGAUUGGUUCAACAACCUCAACCUCUGCACCUCACUGUCAACCACAUGCAAGCUUCCUCCUUGCUUUAGCCCUUGAACACAAAACAAGGAAACGAGGAUAUUUCGGAGUCCCAGUCUCACUGCCUUCAUGGACGCUGGAGCCACUGCCACCUUUACUAUGUGUGUGGUUAGGGCAUUGUGUGGCGAUAAACACAUGACCAGCAAGGGGCCCUGCCCCCCUCCAAAUACUAUGGAUUUGUUCAUAAUAAACACAUGAACAGUGCAGCAUUUGACUUGUUUUCUGCUCCGACCGUCCCUCCCCAACAUCCUAAUCCCACUAAUCCCGCCUCCGCCACUGCAGGCAUGCCGGCCUUUUCUUAAUUGCUAUACUUUUGAGGACGCAUCACUAAAAAAACUAAAAGAGGUUUCAUGGCAAUGAUGGAGUGCUACCAAAUUAUGUUCCAAGAAAAAUGAUUUCGGCCUCAACUUGACUACAUGCAUGUUGAAUUGUUGACCCGAUUUGACGGACUAUAUAAGUGCUCUUCUCUUUGGGAAUUUGAAAGCACAGCCCUUCUAAGCAUCGCACAAUAUAUAGGCUUAUAUAUGUGGUGGCUAUCAUUGGUACAAGCAUGUGUGCAUUAGACCAGAAAAGGGGUUUCAAACUCACAGAGCAUAUUGAAGGUGGUACAAAUCAUUGCAGAGUGAAUUACAAGUAGCUAUAUGUGGAUUGGAAUUUACUGAAGCUUUGCAUAUUCAAAUUUUUAAGUCGAAUGAGACAUGCAUUGCACGUGCAAGCUUACUAGUGACUGCAAAAGCAAGGUUUAGAGCCUGUUUGGUUAGAGGCCUCGUGAGUGUGCGUGAGAAAAUAAGGUGCCUGGGUAACGCCCGUGAUGAAGCAAAAAAUUGUUUGGCCAGACUCGCGUGCCACCCGCGUGUUUGUCUAUUGUCUUUGCCAGACUGAUGUGAGUUGACUGUUUAAAAUAUUUUCACAGAACAAAUGUACAAUUACUGGCCAGUUAUUACUGCCAGGUUGUUGCUGUAGCACGCCAGACGCAUGGAGAGGGACGCCUGGACUAGGCUAAUGAGGUUGCCUGGGCUAUCUCUUUUCAAUUUCUUAUUCCUAGUUGCCAUGCUAAUCACAUGGCAGGGACGGCCAAGCCAGGCAGACAUCUUUUUCUACGAGGACAGGAAGCAAACAGCUGUCACGUAGAACUCAGGGAUCAUCCAAGCCAGGCGUACAAUGGCGUGGAAGGCAUGUAAACACGCCCUUAGUCUUGUUAGUAUAGUAUAGCAUAACAUCCUUUCUAGCAUAGUACUCCCUUUGUUUCUAAAUUUAAGUCUUUUUAAAGAUUUCACUAUAAGCUAUGUACAGAUGUAUAUAGAUGUAUUUUAGUGUAUUUUUUACGGGGACGUAUUUUAGAGUGUAGAUUCACUCAUUUUGCUCUGUAUGGAGUCUGCAUUGGAAUCUCUAAAAUGACAUAUUUAGAAACAGAAGAAGUGUUAUUUUAGCAGGACAA